GCUGAAAUAGCUUAGUGGUAGAGUACCGACCCUGCUAAGGUCGGGGGUAUGGGUUCGAUUCCCAAUUCAGCACCA
rnacentral:tRNA from 1 species